UACGAUAUUUACAACUCUUAAUACUUCUUGAAACCCAAGAAAGGACAUAUUUUAUGUAGAUUCAGGUUGUACUAGACACAUGACUUCUACACGGGACAGCAGGCUUACUCUGGAAACCAAUUCCAAUCUCAAGAUAACACGAACUCGAAAUAGUUUCAAUUCCAAUCUAGAAGUUAUUGUUACUCUUGACCAAAUCGAGUCCAUUAUGGUAUUGCAAUUGAAAUUGAGUAUACGAUCGAGUAUCUGUGUGGCCACACAUAGCCACAAUAUGGCCAUAUUUAAGAUAAUACAUGAUCUACCAAAAUACUAUAAAUAGUUUGGAACGUAUAAUUUUAUUUUAAAUAAUUAAAAACAUGCAAUUAUUAUAAUUUUUUACAUAAAUGUUGUAGAACGUCACAUAAAUAAAUAGAAAAUGAUUUUUUUAAGUAAAACUUUAACAAAAUGUUAAAUUCAGGCUGAAUAUAUAUAUUGCUGCUGCUGCUGCAGACAAUGACAAUAUAUAUAUUGUUUAGAUUGUUUAGACAAUGACAAUAUAUAUAUUGUCAUUGUCUAAACUAUAUUAAAAAAAAAUAAUGCGCUUCUGCGAACCGCGCAAACUUAAAAGUUGAAAUUUGAAACUUUGUAAACAUACUUCUUGCACUUCGUUUAUUAAACCUAAAAAGAUGAGUAGGCCUACAUUUUUGCAACAAUAAGCACUGGCAGAUUUCCUGGAGAGAAAUCCAGGGAUUGCCAAAGGCCUCCUUCGUACCGCCCAUGCGAAGCAGGAUACGAAAAGAAAGUGGGAGGAAAUAUCUGUGAACUUUAAUGCUCUGGGCGGUGCACAGAAAGAUGGGAAAGGCUGGGCGAAGGUAAGCAAAGUGUUUGGAUAAUUAAUUAAUGUAAUUUACAAUCAAUUUUGUAGUUGAUUUAUAUAAGUAAUGUAUCGACUUAUUUUUCAGUAUUGGGCUGAUAAAAAGUGCGCCUUAAAAAAGAUAUGUGCUCAGAAAGCACAAUCUCUUAGUCGAACAGGCGGUGGGCCUGUCGAAACUUUGCCAUCGUUGACGCCUAUCGACCAGCGGCUGGUGGCUGUGAUGGGAGGCCCACAAUUUGCGAUUGGUGCAAUGGUGAGAGCCAUCUCACCAUUAAUCCUUUCCCGGGAACAUCUAGCGAUUCUCCGUCUCCAGCAGCUACAUUUCAAAACAUAACUCCUUCAUUGGAAAGUGUACCAAUGGAGGAGGCAAUUCUUUUGAAUGUAGAAGGAGCAUUAGAGCCUGGCUCUAAUUUUGUUGUGCUCAGUGCUGAUCCUGUGACAGUGAAUACAACAACCCAUGCCUCACGUGACCAAUAACACCGACCACCAAGGGCAAGCAGGGCUCGUUUGCGGUCAAGACCUCUUAAUUAUCAGCAAGAUAGGCAAAUGUUUGCUGAUAUAGAGGCAGCGUGUAGAAGCCGAGACGCUGACUGCAAGAGCAGUAAGUGAGGCAGCUGGUAACAUAGCCGAUGUUGCUACUGCCAUUAAUAAUUUAGCAGAAGCUAUCACAGGUGCGGCCCAAAUUAUAGCACAAGCAAUCAAUAGUGCAAAUCCACGAUAGAUGUUUUGGUGUGUAUUU